rnacentral:miRNA from 1 species
UGCGGGCGGGGGCAGCGCGGCGG